rnacentral:pre_miRNA from 1 species
GUCCCAAGGGGUAGUGGUCUACACUGACUUUUUGUAUCACAGCCCUGCUUGGGAC